UGUCACCAAAGAACGGAAGGUGUCAAAAAGGGUUAAGACACACCUUCAGUCCAAGAAAACCCCCUGAAGCAACAGCAAGUCACCCAACCUUUUCCUUGGUUAACUACUCUUUUAAUCUGAGAAGUGCAGAUUCACUAAUUCCCACGGUUUUGUGGUGAGUCUGAACCGAAUGAUGUUUCGAGUUGAAGCCUGGACAAGCAAGGUGAGGGGCAAUGGGGUACAGCGAACGAUGGCACCCUGUCUACGGCCACAGCAGAUUCGGGCUCACUUGGCGCAAACUGUAACCUAUUAGCACUUGCUUUCUAUUUUUGCCCCAACUGAGUCUGAAGAAUAAAGGUUAUGUGUCAACUCCUAGGUCACGGUCCUGAAAAAAUUAACAAUGAGUUCCAAUCCAGUAUUAACAUAAGUGCACAGGGACAAAAGUAGCCGAAGAACAGCACAAAAACAUCACAUAUCCUUGCAUCCAAGGGCCUCAAGUUUUUGUCCAAAUGGUCACUAAAAUCGGUUGUGUAUAAUGCUAGAAUUUGUCUUCUCCUGAAUACACUGUGUUAUACUGUCUCAUGUUACAUAAGAGGACAGUAAGGUCUUAAAAAGCCACAUGCGGUGGACACUGUCUAAUGUUUUGCCAAAUGAUGCCAGCUUUCCAUAUUUGCAAACUGAUUAUAAUGAUACUAUCCAUCAACUGGAUAAAAAAGAACCAUUCUAACUAUACUUCAGUUUUGCCAGUAAAUGCAUAACUGUAAAACAAUAAAUCAAAUCACAUUUACCACUGUCUUGGGUUAUCUCAGAAGUGCAUUUACACAGAGUGGAAAAUAAUCCAAAAAUGUGGCGUUAAGCUAUAAGGCACCAAACCUUAUUAAAAUCUUAUGUUUUAUUUAUUUAUUUAUAUUAUUAAUUGAUAUUUAUUAAUAUAUUUACUUAAUCUAAUAUUAGACAGGAAAAAUAUUAACACUACUACUCAGUCAAUAACGAUACUGAAAACAGCAUAACAGAACCGUGGUGACUGCCAGGAAAAUAAGCAAGCUGAUUAAAUAGGUGGAGGCCUUGAACCGCUAUUUCCCCAAAAAAGACAUACGAACAGCCAACAAGCACGCUCAGCAUUAUCUGCCAUUAGGGAGAUGUAAAGCAAAACCACAGUGAGAUACCUUCACACCUACCAGGAUGAAUGCAAUGAAAAAAACAAGGAAAGUAACAUGUGUUGGGGAACAUGCAGAGAAACUGGAACACUUGUUCAUCAGCUGCUGAUGAAAACAGCUGGCAGUUUUAACUCAAAAAGUUAAACACAGAAUUAUCAUAUAAUCCUGCAAUUCCACACCAUGAGAGACGGGACGCAAACAGAUAUCUGUAUACCAGUGUUCACAGCAGUUUUAUUCACAAAAGCCAAACAUGGAAACCAUCCAAAUGCCUACCAAACUAUGAACAGAUAAAGAAAAUGCUGUAUGUAUCUGUAUGACAGAGUAUUUUCCAGUUUUAAAAAGGAAUGAAGUUCUGAUACAUGCUGCAAGAUAAAUGAACCUAUGAAACACGCUAAGUGAAAUAAGCCAGACACAAAAGGAUCCGUGUAUGAUCCCACCUGUAGGAAGUAUUAGAUCCUGACAACAGAAAGCGGAACAGGGGCAACAAGUGGCUUGGGAAGGAGGCAAUGGGGAAUUAGUGUUGAACUGGCACAGAAUUUCUGUCUGGGAAGAUU
ensembl:lncRNA